rnacentral:rRNA from 1 species
UACGUAGGGUGCAAGCGUUGUCCGGAAUUAUUGGGCGUAAAGAGCUCGUAGGCGGUUUGUCGCGUCUGCUGUGAAAACUCGGGGCUCAACUCCGAGCUUGCAGUGGGUACGGGCAGACUAGAGUGCGGUAGGGGAGACUGGAAUUCCUGGUGUAGCGGUGGAAUGCGCAGAUAUCAGGAGGAACACCAGUGGCGAAGGCGAGUCCCUGGAAAACACCUGACACUGAGGCACGAAAGCUAGGGGAGCAAACAGG